UUAAGUUCAGCGGGUAUUCCUACCUGAUCCGAGGUCAACCUUGUAAAAUUGGGGGUUUUACGGCAAGCGUACGCCUACACCCGGAACGAGAAGUAACUACUGCGUUCGGUUGUGGGACGCACCCGCCGCUGUCUUUAGAGGCCUGCAGCGCAGGGCCCCAACGCCAGGCAGGGCCUGAGGGUUGUAAUGACGCUCGAACA
rnacentral:misc_RNA from 1 species